UGGGGAUGACGUCAAGUCCUCAUGGCCCUUAUAGUGGGGCUACACACGUCAUACAAUGGCCGGUACAAAGGGCUGCAAACCCGCGAGGGGGAGCCAAUCCAUCAAAGCCGGUCGUAGUCCGGAUCGCAGUCUGCAACUCGACUGCGUGAAGUCGGAAUCGCUAGUAAUCGUGGAUCAGCAUGUCACGGUGAAUACGUUCCCGGGUCCUU
rnacentral:rRNA from 1 species